rnacentral:rRNA from 1 species
AUUGAACGCUGGCGGCAGGCCUAACACAUGCAAGUCGAGCGAGCGGCGGACGGGUGAGUAAUGUCUGGGAAACUGCCUGAUGGAGGGGGAUAACUACUGGAAAAGGUAGCUAAUACCGCAUACCAUCAGAUGCGCCCAGAUGGGAUUCGCUAGUGGGGGGGGUAACGGCUCACAUCGGCGACGAUCCCGAGCUGGUCUGAGAGGAUGACCAGCCACACUGUAACUGAGACACGGUCCAGCCUCCUACGGGAGGCAGCAGUGGGGAAUAUUGCACAAUGGGCGAAAGCCUGAUGCAGCCAUGCCGCGUGUGGGAAGAAGGCCUUCGGGUUUUAAAGCACUUUAAGCGGGGAGGCGUUACCCGCAGAAGAAGCACCGGCUAACUCCGUGCCAGCAGCCGCGGUAAUUC